CAGCAGCCGCGGUAAUACGAAGGGGGCUAGCGUUGCUCGGAAUGACUGGGCGUAAAGGGCGCGUAGGCGGUUUGUCGAGUUAGAUGUGAAAUUCCCGGGCUUAACCUGGGGACUGCAUUUGAUACUGGCAGGCUUGAGUGUGGAAGAGGGUCGUGGAAUUCCCAGUGUUGAGGUGAAAUGCGUAGAGAUGUGGAGGAACACCAGUGGCGAAGGCGACUCUCUGGUCUGUAACUGACGCUGAGGAGCGAAAGCGUGGGGAGCGAACAGGAUUAGAUACCCGGGUAGUCCCUGUCUCUUAUAA
rnacentral:rRNA from 1 species